AUCGCUUCUCUGCCUUUUGGCUAAGAUCAAGUGUAGUAUCUGUAAAUAUUGUUUUUUGGAAAUAAAACAGCACCCCUUUGAAUGCUAAUGAUUAAGGUAAUGAUUAAGCACAAGAUGUAUGUGUGAAACGCGUCUACGUGACCCCGUGUUGGCGUCUUUGGUGUUAUCACUUUAAACAAUAAAAGGCAAUCAGAA